UACAGAGGGUGCGAGCGUUAAUCGGAAUUACUGGGCGUAAAGCGCACGUAGGUGGCUAUGUAAGUCAGGUGUGAAAUCCCCGGGCUCAACCUGGGAACUGCACUUGGGACUGCAUGGCUAGAGUAUGGGAGAGGAAGGCGGAAUUCCCGGUGUAGCGGUGAAAUGCGUAGAUAUCGGGAGGAACAUCAGUGGCGAAGGCGGCCUUCUGGCCCAAUACUGACACUCAGGUGCGAAAGCGUGGGGAGCAAACAGG
rnacentral:rRNA from 1 species